AUUGGGAGAUAUAUAUUUGUUACCAGAGUUCAAAGUGAAUUGAGGGCCUCUGUAUGAGGUUAUUUCCACUUGAAUCAACCCAAAUCGUGAUAUCUAAUGGGAGCACAAUGUUCGUGCACAUGUUGUUGUGUCAGUGUUGGAGAUCGGAAUAGCUUCUCGCCUACAAGAAAAACGAUCUAUUAUUGUAAAUGAUGGGUGAAUCCAUGAGAAGAGGGCAGUGGGCCCACUAGAUCGAAAUGAAUAUGUGAGAAAUAGGAAGUAGGAAUGACUGUAUGGGAGUUGAUCCAGUAUUUCAGUAGACUUUUAAUACAUUGGCGAGCCCAGUGUUUAAUUCCCUUGUUCAUUCCAUUCCAGACAUAGUUUUUUGUUAUAAGUUUAACGGAAGACCGAGCUGAUGGAUGUGAUAACGAAUUAAUAAUAUCAAAUACUGGCAUUUUCAAAGAUUGAGGAAUUACCGGGUGCGGAGUGGAGCUAGAAAUAUAACAUAAAAUACUCAAUUGUUUUGUUUGAAGAAUUAAAAUCUGCCUCAGAUAAUUUAAGUUUGGAUUUACUUGUGUAGUUUGAGAACAUUUCAUUUUGAGCUUCAGAUUGUGUAAAAUUAAAACACUGAAUGUCAAUCGAAGAGAUUUUUUGAAUAUCCGUGGUGUAUUCAGAUAUAUAUUAAAUGCCUUUUUGUUGACGUGCAGGACCAGGGAUCCAAAACUUUAGCGAAAGUAUAUGUCGAAGGCUUGUGAUCCAUGUAGAUAAUCAAUUAUCCACCUUCAACAAUAUUUCAAAAAUAUCUUAUACAUGAAUGUAUAGAUAGUAAUUCUCGAUCAAAUGUUACUAUAUUUCAGUUCGUGUGAUUGUAAUUGCUUUGAAAAGAAAGAUAAGGGUUUCCAAGUAUUGUUUUGAAGUUGUUCUAAAACCUCCACAAUCGCCGUGUCAGAAACAUCUACAGAAAGAGCUAAAGGUGCGUCAGGAAUUGGAUGAACAAGCUCCAUUCUGAAUUGGAUAAGAAAAGCUUUGGUUCAGCGAGAUUCUUUAAGUAAUUGAAAGAAAGGUUGUAGUAGUUUAGCCAUACCUUUAAAAAAUCGUUGAUAAAACUUUAAAACUCUAUCACCUAUUGGACUUUUCCGAGAUUGGGCGGAAUGGAUAAGAUUGAAUCGUUUUUAUCUUGUCGGCGAGAGGUGUGAUCCUUGAUGACUUCCCACCAAGACCAAAAAGUUUAUCUUUGUUGCAUCAAAUUGACAUUUCGAUAGAUUAAUAGCAAAUUCAUGGUGAUAAAGUCUUCGGAAAAGUGUUGUCAAAUGUCCAAGAUGUUGAUCCUUAGAUGAACUUGCAAUUGAGAUGUCGUCUAGAUAAACGUAGACAAAAUGUAGCCUAUUUAAAACACGAUUAAGAAGUCUUUGGAACGCCUGUGAUGUGUUUUUAGAACGAACGGCAUUCGUAAGAAUUUGAAAAGGCCAAAAGGGGUAAUGAUGGCUGUUUUUGUUUUAUCAUCAGGGUAUACUGGAAUCUCAUGAUAACCUUUAACAAGAUCGACUUUAGGAAAUAUGGUACAACCGGCCUAGUGGGCAGUAAAGUACCAUUUUGUUUGUUCAAAUUAAGAUAUGGAUCUGAUUUGUCGAUCUCCAUCCUCGAUAUUGUAACGUUCGGGAUCACCAA
rnacentral:lncRNA from 1 species